ACGCCCUCUUUAUCAGUUUGUGAAGAUGUCGUGUCUCAUUUUCCCUGGCAGCGAGUGGUCUUUUCAUCCAUCUCAGCUUUUGAUCCCAACGCGGAUUUAGAGAAUCGGAUGCUGGAGCUAAAGAAGGCGUACCAAGUCAGGUCUGAAGCGAGAGUCAGUUGGUGCUGUCCCAGCCCAACCUGCUCGCUUCAUUACUGGGGGGUUAAAUCGGUAGCCUGCAGUGAGUUCGUUCAGUUCUAUUGCAAACGCCGGCAUAUUAUAGAAAACUUUCGCACUUUGCGGCUUUGGUGUGGCCUCCCAGGCAACGAAAAAUGUGUCGUCGUCGUUCCACAUGGAUUCAAGCUCAUCGCCUCUUGCUAACAGUCUCCCUGAUGCUUGGUCCAGUCUCCCAGACUGCUCCGAACAGACCUCCGGCAGGCCAUUGUCAGCGGGCACAAAGCUGCUGGCUUCGGCUGCAGGUAUGUCGAGGCUUUCCCCUGGACUGUCGAUCUCGAGUCCAGGAUUCGGCAGCGGAAGGAGACUCAUUCCAUGGCGGCUCGAUCUCCUGCUGGUAGGUCUAGUCUGUUUCGACGGUGAAGUGUGCCGUCCACCCCGGCUGAAGCUCGGACUUGCUCCAGAGGUCUGGUCUCGAUUCAUUCUGCUGCUAGAUUUGAUUUGCUCACUGUGCUGCUUAAACUCUUGGUAGCUUCCGUUUCCAACUCGAGUCAUCCACAAGCGUUUGCUCCAGCAUCCAUCAAUAAAAAAGCGAGGACAGCCGGACCUGUCCAGCACUUCCCCCCUCAGUCCGUUGCUCCCUGCACACUCUUUUGACAACCAACUAUCGCUCCGCCGAUACAUCCGGCCUCUCUUUGCUUGCGUCGGCGGGGCAGCAGAAGCCGACCGAGAACUAGCACUGUUUUUCCGACCACUACCGAGAACGACUUUCUCCUGUCCAUCCUCCCCUCCGCCCCGUGCUCCCCCAGUCGGUGGUGCGCUGGCGGCCUCGCCGCUCGCUACGCUGUUGCUCCGCCUGCGCCUGGACUGGGAAAUUGGGGAGGAGGCAGGUUCCGUCAAAUCCUGGUUGGCCGACGAGGUAUUCCAGCGGAACGAGGGUAGCCACGAACCGCCGGCAGCUUUCGAGGAGGGAGAGGACGCGGCAGGGAGGAACGUCACGUGGGCCACCUCACCUGUCAUGUGAUUGGUGACGGUCAUGUUUCCGACCCAUUCCAUCCACAUGGUUCCUGCGUCAUUUGGAAGAAACAAGGUGAGCUCCAUGCAUCGCACUUUCGCGCUUUCACAAAUGUCGUCGCUCGAGCGUUGGACUCGGGGCCGCAAUCCGUGUAAGGUAAGCUUACCGAAUACAAUAUUAUGAACUCGCGUGUUGGGCCGGUGCCACGUAUAAUCUUCGACUCCGCCUCCAGGUAAAAACAGCCUUAGUGUUACCGUGCCCGUAUUGCAACUGUCGACAUGAGUCCCCUGAGAAAAGCAAGUCGCCGACGCACCCACACAUUUGGCAACUGCGAGCAAUCAACCUGGACGAAGCGGGGCAGUUUUCAGUGGAUUGGAGAACGCCGCUCCCUCCAGGAUGAUCGAAGAGCGAGUUUUAAUACAGGCAGAACACUUUUUCAAAUCACAGCGAAAUACUUUAGACGUAGCAGAGGUAGUGACCGAAUCGCACCCAUCCCCAUGCUUGCAUCCGCACAAGCAGUUCCCGAAAUCUCACCUGAAUGCUCAAAACAGGAGAGACGGUUCCGAAGCACACAAAGUCCCCAUUGUGAGCUGCCCCAUGGUACGCAGAGACGGGCGGGUGGUGCGACACUUGCUCCGCAAUGUAGUUGAAUCCUCGGUGGGAGCAUUCGAACGUUUCUCCUGACGGAGGCAGAAACAAUUCACGGGUCCCUGGCGAAACUGAGGGUGGUGAAUUGGGCGCGGCGGCGUCUUGUAUUCAGCUGGUGUGGAACGUGGAAAGUUGCUUCGAGUUCACAAGACAGCAGCCACGUCUCUGUCUCGGUCGGCUCCAUGCAUCCAAGUUUGAAGUCGCAACAAUAGUAGCACAGCUGCUGUUGCAAAGAAAUGAAAACAUGGGCCGAAACCUACUGUUUUGUAUCAAACCUUUUGUCGUCUUCUAUAGACGAACAGAAUCCUUAGUAGUCUGUAGAUGGUAAGUUCGGUGCAAGGAGGCCAGUGUCGAAACACAGGGAACUCAAACUAGAGCAGAUGUGAAUGCGUGCCACAAAAGCGGCUGGCAGUGGUCUUUCCUGCUUUGCACGCCCUGUGCCGGGUGUCAGAGGUCCACGUUGGCGGUAUUCGAUCUUAUCUUUAAAAAACCGUUACCCUGUGGUGCCAGAUCUGGGAAUGCCGCACAAUGGAACUGUGUAGUAGUUUGCAGCAACAGAAAUGGAGUUGACACGCCACGGGUGAGUGCUGUUUCGGUCAGAUUGUUCGGCGGGUCUUCCUUUCGCUGACUCCCUACGCACCCAGCAUGGGGUUGAACGGUUUGUAACAGCGGUCCAUACUGCCUGCAUAUGCUGAGAGGGCGAAGAUGGUGACAUACGCCAGCCUUUCCGUCGACGUCGUCUUCGUGCGAGCGAUCGAAAGAAGAUUGGUGUACUCGAAAUCCUCGCAAAUUCUCUGCAACGAUACACAAAGAGAGACCAUGAUACUCCUGGGGUAGAGAAAGGAUCCACGCAGGGUCGGCGACUUCAGUCUAGAGGGAAAACGUGAACCCCAUUGAUGCCCAGCACGAACAGACCAGCUGCCUCGGCACACCGGAGACAAUAGCCGCCACGAGGAAUUGCAAGGGACCCCACGUGCUAUAGAGCGUUCUUGGAUCGUGCAUGUUGCGCUCGCCGUUAAAGAGAAAACCGGACGGGCAGCAAUCAAUGUAAAAGCCUGUUGCAACCACAACAAAACGUCUCCGGCGUUCCUGUUUUCGUGCAGGGGCCACUAGGCCAGAUUUGGCAUAAUUUUUACCUGUAGCAUUGAAAGGGGCUCAUUGACGUUGAUCGGGAGAGAGAAAUUGCGCAUGUCAGAGCUAUUUACUUGCUUCAAAACCUUAAGGAUGCUCAAGUUACAGCUGCUUGGUUUUGCACAGGGCAGUUUGGUCCGCCGUUCAGUCGACGUCGCCGUCCCUUGGGGCACGUCUCUUGAAGUACAGGGGCGAAGGUAGUGCUCCGCUGACGCAGCAUUUUCGAGCGGACUGCAGAACGCGUCCUUGACAUUUUCAGUGGCUUCUUUCGAAUUCGUCCUGGCAUGUUCUGGCGCCGCGGUUUCGCUAGUCCCUGCGGCGGCCUGGUGUCGGUUUCCAUUGACUUCGUUACUGCUGGCGGGGAUGCCCGAGUCGGAAAUCCUCUCCAACUCUCCCGUGAUUUGAGCCGCGAUUGGCAUCGUGACCCCAUACCGUUGCCCAUGACAACAUGGUUCUCCGCUUGAGGCUCGGUCUUCGGCAAUAUUGGAGCACGCCGUUGCAAACGACUUCUCGGUGGUGUCACUCUGAUGAUCCGCUCGCUCCGUGGACUCCUCACGUGUAUCCCACACGUUUCCAGUGUUAUCGUCACUACGCCCCUCUUCUCCUGGUCGUCGUACCUCCUCCAAAAUGUGACGAGGAUGCAUUAACAGCUCUUCAGAAGAUCCUCUCUGUUGCACUGACCGCCGCACAGGCAGCGCGGGAUCUGGAGCAUUCCAUGGCAGAAACACACGCGGUUGCGGGUUUCCGACUUUAGGCAGAUGGUUCCCUCUUCCAGGAAGCACUUGUCGAACAGAGUCCUCGAGGCGAGGCACUACCUUCGGAGUGUGCUCAUCGUCCGUUCCCACCAAAUGACAUGAUUCGAAAGACUGAAGCUGCGAGAUGCACGCUUUGUCAGGGUUCCGCUCCGAUUCAGCCUGCCCGUCUUCUUUCCACCCACUGGCAAUACUGUCCGUGCCUGGCUGCAGCGCAGCUGUGUCAUGGACAGGCAGACCAUCCGGGGAACGCGGUUUGUAGGUCAUUUGGCGUGCUCCAGAAUCGAUUCGGCAGUUGGCUCCGCUGCUGCCGGGCACAGAAUACCAGGUAUAUUGAUUUUCGCCCUUCUUGUCGCUGUGUCGUGAUGAAGAAGCUUGCUCGAUUAUACGUUUUCCUCCCAGAGCACCCCGGUCCUGCUUCUCUUCACCAUCUGCGGUAGCCGGAUCUGCAUUCUUGCAAGGGAUCAAAGAAGCGUCGUCCUCACAGCCGGACGACUGUCUAGUCCGUCCAACCGUGGCCACUAUUGAAUGCCACAAGGCCCUGUUAUGUUUCUUUCGGCAACUGCGUGUCACAUUUUGCGCCUCCCUGAGCAGCUCACUCUGUUCCAGCUUCACGUCGCGGAUGUCGUCUUCCCUGCGCUUCCAUUUCCUCCCUCGAUGCCCUCUAGAGCCGUCAGGCCUGUAGCUGUCAGUGGGAGGCGUGUGACAACCCAAGUGCGACGCCUUCGGCUGCUCACUCCUCUCCAUAUGUGACUUUCUCCCGCAUGAUUUCCAUGCUAUCACCUUGUGUAGACGUUGUUGUCCGGUGGUUAGUUCUUCGUUUUGGUUCGCUGUCGUCGUCUGUCCAGCUUCUUUUACAUUUACCCCUGUAGAGGGCUGCAGUACAUCUCCAAAAUGCGCAGGGCGCUGUGCAACGAAAAGGUCGCACCCCUGUUCGUCUCUGAGCACUAGCAAAAUCUCUCUCGUUGGUAGAAUCUCCGUUCCAGGUACUCUCCAGUUCGAGAAGUAUUGACCGUUCUGCUGGCAUGCCGUUUUGCUGUGACAAUCUGUGCAGCUGCUUUUCACUUUCUGUUUCUGUUUCGUAGAGCAGUACUGCGGCCUGUGAUGCCUAUGCCCAAAAGAAGUCUUGAAAGAGAACCCAUUCACUAGAACUAACUUAACGCCCCGCAGGGUCGACCGAAUGCAGUUGUGUAAAGGGACUCAAACUACGCUACACCUGCCAAAGGAAACUCACUUUGUCUUCAGGAAUUCUGGCCUCCAUGCUCGGCGACUCAUUCCGGACGACAGUAGUACCAGUUCCGCUCGCCAACCGUUCGCUGAGCUUGCGCCUGGUGGUAUGCCC
rnacentral:lncRNA from 1 species